rnacentral:snRNA from 1 species
AAAAUUUCGGAACGCCUCACGAACUUGCGCGUCAUCCUUGUGCAGGGCCAUGCUGAUCGUCUCCGUAUUGUUCCACUUCCAGUAUAUGCUAAGGAAUGAAC